AGUGAACGCUGGCGGUAGGCCUAACACAUGCAAGUCGAACGGCAGCACAGUAAGAGCUUGCUCUUACGGGUGGCGAGUGGUGGACGGGUGAGGAAUACAUCGGAAUCUACUUUUUCGUCGGGGUUAACGUAGGGAAACUUACGCUAAUACCGCAUACGACCUACGGGUGAAAGCAGGGGAUCUUCGGACCUUGCGCGAUUGAAUGAGCCGAUGUCGGAUUAGCUAGUUGGCGGGGUAAAGGCCCACCAAGGCGACGAUCCGUAGCUGGUCUGAGAGGAUGAUCAGCCACACUGGAACUGAGACACGGUCCAGACUCCUACGGGAGGCAGCAGUGGGGAAUAUUGGACAAUGGGCGCAAGCCUGAUCCAGCCAUACCGCGUGGGUGAAGAAGGCCUUCGGGUUGUAAAGCCCUUUUGUUGGGAAAGAAAAGCAGCAGGUUAAUACCCCGCUGUUCUGACGGUACCCAAAGAAUAAGCACCGGCUAACUUCGUG
rnacentral:rRNA from 1 species